rnacentral:rRNA from 1 species
GCCAAACUUCUAGCCACAACGUAAAAUAUUUAACUUACUUCCCCCACAUUAAAACAUUUUACCAAUUAAGUAAAGGUGACAGAAAAAUUACUUUGAGCAAUAAUGACAGUACCGUAAGGGAACAAUGAAAUAAGAAUGAAAUAACCCUUAAGCACAAAAAAGUAGAGCUUUACCCUCGUACCUUUUGCAUCAUGGUUUAACUAGUAUAACUAGGCAAAAAGACUUUGAGUCUAACCCCCCGAAUCUAAGUGAGCUACUCUAAGACAGCUUUAUGAGCCAACCCAUCUCUGUAACAAAAGAGUGGGAAGAUCUUAUAGUAGAGGUGACAAACCAAACGAACCUAGUGAUAGCUGGUUGCUUUUUAAAAGGAUUUUAGUCCAACUUAAAGUCAACACUUAAUUAUCAAAUAAAACUUUAAAGUAAUUCAAAUAAGGCUCAGCCUAUUUGAAAAAGGAUACAACCUUUACCACCGGGUUCAUGCUCGCUAAAAAUAAAGUAGGCUUUAAAGCAGCCACCUAAAACAAAAGCGUCACAGCUUUCCUUUAACACUUACUAAAUCCCUAUACCUUUCCCCAACCCUUCACCCCCAAAAAGCAACUCUAUAUCUUUAUAGAAAAUUUUAUGUUAAAACUAGUAACAAGAAGCAACCCUUCUCUUAAAUGUACCUGUACAUCAACACGGACCCCCCACUGAUAAUUAACGCUCUUAAAAUUAAAGUAAAAACACCUCAAGAAAACCCUACUGAAACUAACGUUAACCUAACACAAGAACAUUAAAAGAAAGAUUUAAACAUAAAGAAGGAACUCGGCAAACAUUAGCCUCGCCUGUUUACCAAAAACAUCGCCUUUUGACAAAUUAUAAAAGGUCAAGCCUGCCCAGUGACAUUGUUCAACGGCCGCGGUAUCCUAACCGUGCGAAGGUAGCGUAAUCACUUGUUCUUUAAAUGAGGACUAGUAUGAACGGCUUCACGAAAGCUAUACUGUCUCCUUUAUCUAAUCAGUUAAACUAAUCUCCCCGUGAAGAAGCGGGGAUACCCAUAUAAGACGAAAAGACCCUAUGGAGCUUUAAAUAUCUUUAGACAUUUGAAUAUACACAACUCUUAAACCACUAAAUUAAUCAUUUUGUCUUAAGUUUUAGGUUGGGGCGACCACGGAGAAAAAACCAACCUCCACAUGGAAAGAAACUCCCUUCUAAGCAAAAAGCUACAUCUUUAUGCAUCAACACAUUGACCUUAAUUGACCCAUUUGAUUGAUCAACGAACCAAGUUACCCUAGGGAUAACAGCGCAAUCCGCUUUGAGAGCUCCUAUCGACAAGCGGGCUUACGACCUCGAUGUUGGAUCAGGGCAUCCCAGUGGUGUAGCAGCUACUAAAGGUUCGUUUGUUCAACGAUUAAAGCCCUACGUGAUCUGAGUUCAGACCGGAGUAAUCCAGGUCAGUUUCUAUCUAUAAAGUGUUUUUUCUAGUACGAAAGGACCAAAAAAACAUGGCCAAUGCCCCAAGUGUACGCCAUCCAACCUCAAUUAUGUUUAAACCUUAAUAAUUAAACCCCCUAUCAUCUAAUCUAAAACCAAGAUCACA